rnacentral:piRNA from 1 species
UAAAAUACCUACAAAGAAAACCUAACAGC